GCCGAGGCUAGAGUCACAUCCUGACAUGGUACUUGUCCUGGUGUGCUACAGUUCUCGAAGAGAAUCUGCUGGUCUUGAUUCAUUGGUAGGGGCCUUCAGUGUCCCUUCUAGUGCCCAGAUCAGAAACAUGG
ensembl:snoRNA Gm22673 small nucleolar RNA SNORA3/SNORA45 family